rnacentral:rRNA from 1 species
GCUCGUAGUUGGAUUCCUGGCCUGGGGUAGCCGGUCCGCCUUGCAAAAGGUGCGCACUGUGCGGCCUCGGCCAUCCUUGAGAAGAGCUGUUCUGGCAUUCAGUUGUCGGGGCGGGGAUUCUCGACGUUUACUGUGAAAAAAUCAGAGUGUUCAAAGCAGGCUUACGCCUUGAAUACAUUAGCAUGGAAUAAUGAGAUAGGACCUUGGCGGUCUAUUUUGUUGGUUUGCACGCCGAGGUAAUGAUUAAAAGGGACGGUUGGGGUUCUUCGUAUUCAAUUGUCAGAGGUGAAAUUCUUGGAUUUAUGGAAGACGAACUGCUGCGAAAGCGUCGAACAAGGACGUUCUCAUUAAUCAAGAACGAAAGUUAGGGGAUCGAAGAUGAUUAGAUACCAUCGUAGUCUUAACCAUAAACUAUGCCGAUUCAGGAUUGGCGGUCGUUUGUUCUCGACUCCGUCAGCACUGUAUGAGAAAUCAAAAUCUUUGGGUUCCGGG